rnacentral:rRNA from 1 species
UACGAAGGGUGCAAACGUUGCUCGGAAUUAUUGGGCGUAAAGCGCACGUAGGCGGCAUUGCAAGUCGGAUGUGAAAUCCCUCGGCUUAACCAAGGAAGUGCAUCCGAAACUGCAGUGCUUGAGUACUUAAGAGGAUCGCGGAAUUCCCGGUGUAGAGGUGAAAUUCGUAGAUAUCGGGAGGAACACCAGUGGCGAAGGCGGCGAUCUGGGAAGAUACUGACGCUGAGGUGCGAAAGCGUGGGGAGCGAACGGG